rnacentral:rRNA from 1 species
AACGAACGCUGGCGGCAGGCUUAACACAUGCAAGUCGAACGCAUCCUUCGGGGUGAGUGGCAGACGGGUGAGUAACGCGUGGGAACGUGCCCUUCAGUUCGGGAUAACCCAGGGAAACUUGGGCUAAUACCGGAUACGUGCGAGAGCAGAAAGAUUUAUCGCUGAAGGAUCGGCCCGCGUCUGAUUAGCUAGUUGGUGGGGUAAUGGCCCACCAAGGCGACGAUCAGUAGCUGGUCUGAGAGGAUGAUCAGCCACAUUGGGACUGAGACACGGCCCAAACUCCUACGGGAGGCAGCAGGUGGGAAUAUUGGACAAUGGGCGCAAGCCUGAUCCAGCCAUGCCGCGUGAGUGAUGAAGGCCUCAGGGUUGUAAAGCUCUUUCGUCCGGUACGAUAAUGACGGUACCGGAAGAAGAAGCCCCGGCUAACUUCGUGCCAGCCGCCGCCGUAACAC